UGCGGAGGAUCAUUAUCGUAGGGCUUCAGCCCUGUCGAGAUAGAACCCUUACCUUUUUAAGUACCUUUCGUUUCCUCGGCAGCUUCGGCUACCAAUAGGGACCCCAAAAAACACUUUGCAGUACCUAUAACAGUCUAAACAAACAAACAAAAAUUAAAACUUUCAACAACGGAUCUCUUAGUUCUAGCAUCGAUAAAGAACGCAGCGAAAUGCGAUAAGUAGUGUAAAUUGCAGAAUUCAGUAAAUCAUCGAAUCUUUAAACGCACAUUGCGCCCUUUAGUAUUCCUUAGGGCAUGCCUGUUCGAGCGUCAUUUAAACCUUCAAGCUCAGCUUAGUGUUGGGUAACUAUCCGCCGCCUUCGGGCGCGUGGACUCGCCUCAAAAUUAUUGGCGGCCAGUACAUUAGCUUCGAGCGCAGCAGAAACGCGAACUCGGGCCCGUCGUAUUAGCUCCCAGAAGCUAUCUUCACAAUUUUAACCUCGGAUCAGGUAGGGAUACCCGCUGAACUUAAGCAUAUCAAUAAGCGGAGGA
rnacentral:rRNA from 1 species